rnacentral:misc_RNA from 1 species
AUCCCAAUUUUUCAAUCCCCAAGGGUACAGCUAUGAUAAAGGUGAAAGCUGGGAUUAGAUUAUCAAUAGCGGAAACAAUUGUUGGAGUUGAAUUCUUUAGCCCGAUGAAAUAUAUGUUUUGGUUCGCUGUUAUCCCGAAAAUAGAACACAAAAAUAUCUGAAAAAGUACAGAACAUGUCAUCUUGGGUCUAGUUUUCCUCUCUAAGAAGAAAGCAAAUGGAGCAAUGGAGAUAGUGGCAAAA